GACAGUGGUAGCUCAGUGGUUAAGACAUUGGCCUACUCAUCAAAAGGCCAUGAGUUCAAAUCCCAGCUCUGCCA